rnacentral:rRNA from 1 species
ACCCGCUGAAUUUAAGCAUAUAAGUGAGUGGAGGAUCAUAAAUUAAACACGUUUUCCUUAGUAAUGGCGAAUGAACAGGAACUGGUGCACCAUGGAAAACAGAGCUGCUUGCUCUGGCUUGCAAUCGCAAGAUGUACUAGCAACCAAGGUGCACGUGUGGGCCUUUUGGAAAAGAGCAUACACACAGGUGAGAAUCCCAUGUUCCGCGUGCAAUCCCCUGGUGCAUGGUAUACAUUCUCAGAGUCGUGCUUCUUGGGCAUGCAGCGCGAAAUGGGUGGUAGGCUUCAUCUAACGCUUCGCAUCGGCUUGAGACCGAUAGCAAACAAGUACUAUGAAGGGAAGGUGAACAAGGACUUUGGCAAGAAAGUUAAAUGUGCUUGAACUUGCUGAAUGGAAAGUGGGUGCAACCUGUGUGACUGAUUGAGAUUGUUGCGUGCCGUAGCUACAACUUCUUGCGCUAUACAAUUAGUGUGGCAAGUAUUGAGUUGGAUGCAUGCAAUGCUUCUCCCUCGUUGUCAGCCAAUGCCAGUCUACGUGUGGGAAAACAAAAAUGGCACUGUAGCCUACCCCAGAGUAGGCGGGCGUGCCAACAUGUGCUCACAUAUACACAUGCCACUGGCAACAUGCUUCCACCCGGCCCGUCUUGAAACACGGACCAAGGAGUCUAACACACAUGCGAGUCCGUGCGUGCGGAAACCUGUGUGCAAAAUGAAAGUGUUUGCUUGGAUGUCUGCACAAGCAACUGACCGAUCAAUUGAGUGAGGUUUGAGUGUGAGCAAGUUUAUUAGGCCCCGAAAGAUGGUGAACUAUGCCUGUGCAGGGCAAUUCCAGAGGAAACUCUGAUGGAGGCCCGCAGCGAUACUGACGUGCAAAUCGUUCGUCGCACAUGGGUAUAGGGGCGAAAGACUAAUCGAACCAUCUAGUAGCUGGUCCCGUCCGAAGUUUCCCUCAGGAUAGCUGGAGUUGAACAGUUUCACCAGGUAAAGCAAUGGUUGGAGGACUCGGGGGCGCGCUGUCCUUGACCUACUCUCAAACUUUAAAUGGGUGAGUACCAGUGACUACUUGGGUGAGCUUCUGGGCUACAUGGCGACUCCAAGUGGACCAUUUUUGGUAAGCAGAACUGGUGAUGAGGGAUGAACCUAACGUUUGGUCAAGGCGCUUAAUUGCUCGCUCAUCAGAUACCAUAAAGGGUGUUGGUUCAUUUUAACAGCAGGACAGUGGUCAUGGAAGUCGAAAUCUGCUAAGGAGUGUGUAACAACUCACCUGCCGAAUGGACUAGCCCCGAAAAUGGAUGGCGCUCAAGCGGGUGGCCGAAAUCAAACCAUCUUUGCAACAAUGCUGCACUGAUGAGUAGGAUGGUGCGGGGGCGAAUGGUGAAACUUCUGGUGAAAAACUAUGUGAAAACAUCUCUGGUGCAGAUCUUGGUGGUAGUAGC